UACGUAGGGGGCAAGCGUUGUCCGGAUUUAUUGGGCGUAAAGAGCGUGUAGGCGGCCAGACAGGUCCGUUGUGAAAACUCGAGGCUCAACCUCGAGACGCCGAUGGAAACCGUUUGGCUAGAGUCCGGAAGAGGAGAGUGGAAUUCCUGGUGUAGCGGUGAAAUGCGCAGAUAUCAGGAAGAACACCGAUGGCGAAGGCAGGUCUCUGGGCUGACACUGACGCUCAGGCACGAAAGCGUGGGGAGCAAACAGG
rnacentral:rRNA from 1 species